ACGGAAGGCAGCAGUGGGGAAUAUUGCACAAUGGGCGCAGGCCUGAUGCAGCGAUGCCGCGUGAGGGAAGAAGGUUUUCGGAUUGUAAACCUCUGUCAACAGGGACGAAAAUGACGGUACCUGUGAAGGAAGCUCUGGCUAACUACGUGCCAGCAGCCGCGGUAAUACGUAGGGAGCAAGCGUUAUCCGGAAUUACUGGGUGUAAAGGGAGUGUAGGCGGGACUGUAAGUCAGAUGUGAAAUAUGCCGGCUCAACUGGCAGACUGCAUUUGAAACUGCGGUUCUUGAGCGAAGUAGAGGUAAGCGGAAUUCCUAGUGUAGCGGUGAAAUGCGUAGAUAUUAGGAGGAACAUCAGUGGCGAAGGCGGCUUACUGGGCUUUAACUGACGCUGAGGCUCGAAAGCGUGGGGAGCAAACAGGAUUAGAUACCCUGGUA
rnacentral:rRNA from 1 species